CUGGAAUUGCUAGUAAUGGCAGGUCAGCAUACUGCCGUGAAUACGUUCCCGGGCCCUUGUACACACCGCCCGUCACACCAUGAGAGUUGGAAAUACCCGAAGCCUGUGAGCUAACAGUAAUGAGGCAGCAGUCGAAGGUAGAGCCAACGAUUGGGGUGAAGUCGUAACAAGGUAGC
rnacentral:rRNA from 1 species